ensembl:lincRNA
CGGAGAGCCUGACACCAGAAGAUCUGGGAUGGCUUUGCAAACUCAAACCACCCUACAAAUCGUCCUUUUCUUACAGAUUAAAGCCGAUCACCCUCUUCCUCGCUGAUGCUCCUGAGCAAGUGCACACUUUAGCGAGUGUUCGGCUAACGACUCCACCCGGUCACCGCGCCCCUCCAGCAGCCCGGCACCCUCUGCGGCUGAGGAGACCCAGGCUCACCACCCUGGCUCUAAGAUGAGGCAGAGGAGACAUGUCCUGAGGACAGGAAUCCCCCAGAUUGUCAGAGCUCCUCUUGUGGCUCAGUUAUCCAAAAACAGCAUCUUUCUAACAUGGCAGCCCCUCAGGAUUGAGUGUGAACCCCAGGACUCACUGGUGGCCUCCUUGAGGCUGCUGGGCCUGCUUCCCUAAGUGGACCGUACCGCCGGAGCUGGGCUUGUUGGGCUGAAGAGAGGUGACCCAGUCUCCCAUAACAGGACGCCCCCAAGCACCCUGCCUUCACCCUAGCCUCUGUGCGUUCACUGCAAAGAGGGUGGAUUUCAUUCUGUCUCUAAAACGUCCCCUCCAUGAAAACACCACCUGUUCAGAAAACAAUGUUUUCUCUGCCUGGACGUGUUCCCGUGAAAGGGCGGAGUGCACACUCUCUAGGGUGCAUCAGUGGAAUCACAGGAUUAUUUAUUUUCCUCAGCAUUGGGCCAUGUAUUAUAGGAAAACAUGCAUUUAUUACUUCAUAGGAGGAAAAGUGCACACAUUUCAAAGGUAAUAGACAGUGUCAGCCUCCCCCAGGUGCCCCCUGGCUGUUGCCCAGGUCCUGGAAUCACACACACACAUUCUCUGCAGGUGGGAUGCUUGGGGAAGAGUGUCUGAAAGAUGCCGCCUGUGGGGACCUAAGACACAGACGAGAACCAUCCUGUCUCCACCCUGUGACACAUCACCAGGUAGAAUAGUCCACCAGGAAGGACCUCUUCUUGGGAUGGAAGCAGCCUAAAUGUCCAUCGACAGGAGGCGGACCUGGCUUUCCAGCUCCCCAGCCCAAUCCUCUCCUGGUUCAGCUUCAUGGGCAGCUUCCAGAGAAGACUGGGGCCUCUGCACUGGGCGCAGCUGGAGCCCUUCUGGUGAGCCUGUCCAUGGCAUGUCCACUACCUGCGGUUCCCUGGACUCUGCCCACAAGGCUCCCCGAGCCAGACCUCCCUCCUCCCGGCCGGCGGUCAGCUCCUCUGAGCUGCAUCUGCUCCAGCGUUUCUGGCUGCUCCACCCGUCAUGGCCGUGAAUCAUCUCCCUUCCCUCAUUCUUUGAAUUGAGAACUCCGCUGAAAUCCCCCAGGUCUUUCCCUACCAAUGGGUCUUAGUCACCGACCUCACAGAUGUCAUGAACUUUCCCCUCCUCGCCUUCAAUAUCACGGCCAAGCUUAGUAUCCAGCACUGUGCUCUCACAACAUAGGAAUGAUUUCAACUCCACCUCUACUCCUCUUUCCGGACUCAGCGGGCUGUUUGCAAACUAAUGAUAGGUUUGGCUUCCUGUGCCCACCUGGCCACAUCUGCCUGCCAUUAAUUAAAGAGAACGAUUCUUUAUUUGGAUCAUGAGCUGGAAAACCUCAAUGUUGAGAUGCUGUGGCUUUUUCCAAAAUCAGAAAGCAAGUACAAGAAGUUGACCGGAAAAUAUCCCCCUUUUCUUUCAAACUUUGCUUCAUGAUUGAGAGAUCGUGUUGUCACAAGCGUCUGAGUGUAUGUUUAUGUGACUCUCUGUGUGUGAGUACAUGUGUGUCUGUGUGAGACUGUGAGGAUACGUGUGGGAGUGUGUGUGUGUGUGUGUGUGUGUGUGCAUUUUAAUCUGUGUCUAUUGCUUUCUGCUCUUAGCCACAUGGGCAUAGACCCCUGGAACCAACCUGGGAAGUGAUACUGGAUGCUGUGAUCAGGCAAGCUUAACCUUCCUCCCCAGCUCACUUCCCUGCUGCUUGACUCCAGGUGGAGACCGAAAAACCCAAAGGCUCAUGUUCUAGUCCCCGUCAGCAAGAGGCACCCAUGUGAUGAAGGUCUGGAGGGUGAGACCGUGUAAGGUCUCGGCUAUGUUGUGGUCACAUAAACCUGGCAUAUUAGUAGCUUAGCCCAGCAGGGGUCAUUUCUCACUCACACUGCCUCCCCUGGUGAUCUGCUGUGGUCUCUGCUACACAGGGCUCCUCGGGGAUGCAGGCUGAUGGGGCUUUACCAUUUUGCAGCUGCCCCAUCUAGAACAUUCAGCUUCUAAGGCCACCACUGAAAGGAAGAGGAAGAGGGAGGAAUUUCAGGCUUUUGACUGCCAUGGCUACCAAAUGUCACUCUUGCUCGCUGUCGAUGGGACAGAGCUUGCAUUUCAGCCUGAUUGCCAGGACAGUUAAGAAUGUGGGGAACGGAUUUUGCCAUGUCCUGGGUAACCACUAAUCACCACAAAGAUGUGACUAUAAUGCUGGGGUCUGGGGUUACUUCUGGACAAACAUUUCCUUUCCUGAUAAAAGGGCCAAACACAAUUGUUUCUCUCUAAGUCAUUCGUGGGCUUGAUGGCUGGUGCUGCGGCAGCCUUCAUGGGACUGGGACCCAGCAGAAGAACAUGCUGAGGACCAUGGGAUACAAACAGCCUUGGUGCCAUUGGUGAGCAGCUGUGUUGAUCCUGGCUUGCUGACUUCAGAUGCCCUAUUCUCUGAGAAACUCAGCCCUGUUUGUUUAGGCCACUAUUAAGCUGCAUGCUCUGUUACUUGCAUACAAACUCAAAGCAGAUAUGGAGGCUUUGAAGAGAAGGUU